rnacentral:sRNA from 1 species
UUGACAGUGCAGGCGACUGAAGUCCUCUGUAUAUCCGCAGGGCAGGCAUGGCACAGAGCGCUUCCUUGCACAGCCUUGCCCAUGAGCUCGUCCCUGGCCUGGAGGGACCCACUCUAGAGGUGGUAAGUAACUCAGUCUUUCUGCCAGCUCAGUCCUGGGCCUCU